UUUUAACGGAGAGUUUGAUCCUGGCUCAGGAUUAACGCUGGCGGCGUGCCUGACACAUGCAAGUCGAACGGGUGCUAGCUGCCCGCAAGGGUGGCUAGCGCUAGUGGCGGACGGGUGAGUAACA
rnacentral:rRNA from 1 species